CGGACGGGUGAGUAACACGUGGGCAACCUGCCCUGUGACUGGGAUAACUUCGGGAAACCGGAGCUAAUACCGGAUAAUUCUUUUAGCCUCAUGGCUUUAAGCUAAAAGGCGCUUCGGCGUCACUACAGGAUGGGCCCGCGGUGCAUUAGCUAGUUGGUGGGGUAACGGCCUACCAAGGCAACGAUGCAUAGCCGACCUGAGAGGGUGAUCGGCCACAUUGGGACUGAGACACGGCCCAAACUCCUACGGGAGGCAGCAGUAGGGAAUCUUCCACAAUGGACGAAAGUCUGAUGGAGCAACGCCGCGUGAGUGAUGAAGGUUUUCGGAUCGUAAAACUCUGUUGUAAGGGAAGAACAAGUGCGUUAGGUAAUGAACGCACCUUGACGGUACCUUAUUAGAAAGCCACGGCUAACUACGUGCCAGCAGCCGCGGUAAUACGUAGGUGGCAAGCGUUGUCCGGAUUUAUUGGGCGUAAAGCGCGCGCAGGUGGUUUCUUAAGUCUGAUGUGAAAGCCCACGGCUCAACCGUGGAGGGUCAUUGGAAACUGGGAGACUUGAGUGCAGAAGAGGAUAGUGGAAUUCCA
rnacentral:rRNA from 1 species